rnacentral:rRNA from 1 species
UACGUAGGUGGCAAGCGUUGUCCGGAAUUACUGGGCGUAAAGCGUGCGCAGGCGGUUGUGCAAGACAGAUGUGAAAUCCCCGGGCUUAACCUGGGAACUGCAUUUGUGACUGCACGGCUAGAGUGUGUCAGAGGGGGGUAGAAUUCCACGUGUAGCAGUGAAAUGCGUAGAUAUGUGGAGGAAUACCGAUGGCGAAGGCAGCCCCCUGGGAUAACACUGACGCUCAUGCACGAAAGCGUGGGGAGCAAACAGG